ACAGCACAGGUUAAGGAUUACAUUAUUUAAAUGUGUACCAAGAAAAAAAAAGGCAGCAAGUAAGUUAAUGAAAAGAUAUAUGGAAGUACAAUGGGCAAAGGAAAAAUAGGAAUAGACAAUGCUAAAAAUCCGUGUAUGUGCAAUAGAAGAGGCACACAGAACAUGAAUGCGGGUCUGAGGUCGCCUAUCACUAGAAUUCCACCUUCUGAUCACACAAUUCCAUCGAGAAACUGUACGGUUAAGGGAAAGAUUCAGGUCACCUGAAGAUGACGUUGGUACCCCAAAGCUUAGCAGAGCUUGAAAAUCAAAAGAAAUAAAAACCAAUUAAAUGGAACGGGUUACAGCAAUGCCAGUUGAGCAAUUUGCAGCUUUUCUCCCCUUGGAAUGUUUCCUAAUUGAGGGUGUUUCCCUUUCGAUUUUCCUGGCCAGCAAAUGAAAUCGGGAGUCGAGGGCGCACCUUGGCAGCGGGAGGUCAGGAGAGCGCCACCAGCCUGCUCCUCCUGGGGGCCUUCCGCUCGCCUGCGGAGGAUCCAGCCGUACUGAAGCGCCGCGUGGUGGGAGCUGUGGUGAAGCUCAGACAAGCUUCUUCUGAAGGUGUCUCCCUGCUUUGCUUUCCCAAGAGCUCCUGAUGGCUCAGCCCCGUCGUCUGGCCGGAUUCUGCCUGCCCGGCUUCUGGAGAGAAGGGCGUGGGUGUCCCUGCAGCGGGGUAUUCCGCCCCCGCCCCGGCUCACUGCGCUUCCCACGUGUCAGUUCCCUAGGCCCCAGCCGCUUGGCCUUCAGGAUCUUGUUCACGUGGUCCAGGUUCUUCUUGGUGGACAGGAUCUUGGUGUAGUUGCACAUCUUCCGCACUUCGCACUGGAUGGCUUCGAUCUCCCGCCGCUUGAAUCUCUUCUUCAGGGAGGAGCCGACUGCGGGAGGGGAAGAGAUAAGAAAUUGAGCACAGGAUGCAAGGUGCCUUCAACUCAGCCUCUUCACUGACAGCUAGCAUUCUACUUGGCUAUAAAGAUUAUAGAGAAUUAAUGCUAUGGGUAUGUCUCCGUGCCCAAGAUGCAUUAUUCCUCUUUAUUAAAAUAAAAACAAACAUUUCUCAAAUAUUCA
rnacentral:lncRNA from 1 species